ensembl:lncRNA
AGGAAACCCUCUAAGGAGACCAGACUGAACUUUAAUCGAGGAGUUGCAAUAAUCAGGCCAAGCUGAGGCUGCGCCUCGUCUCCCCUGGACUUUCUGCCCCUGAGCCCCACAUCUGAGUCUGUAGGGCUGCCGCACAGGAGCAUGUGAGUUACUCAGUGUAACUGUGUGACUGGCAGCCUGGGACACGGUUGCUGUCAGAGUCUGCUGUUUGCCACUUAAUGGCUCUGCAGUCCUGGGCAACACACUUAGACACCCAGGUCUCAGGUGCUACCUUGUAAAGCAGAGAUAAGUAUAUCUACUUUGUCAAGAUGAAACAUAAUGCAUUUUUGCAGUAUAAUACGCUCCCGAUAAUGUAAGCUGUCUUUUUUCUUCUCCCUCCUUUUUCUUUAGAUGUGUUAGGAAGAUAUUUUUUAGGAACAGAGAGCCAAGGGAACAGAGAAUGAAAAGAUUCCGAACAGCUGAGGGAGCCUCGCAGGCGGUGAUAGAUAGAUGAGCAGACAGGAGUUUUAAGACAUUCUUUGGAUUUGCCGUAUUUCGUGCAGUUUUUGGCAGAUGCCCCACCCCUGGGGUUAAGACUGAAGUUGGAGGUUUUUUGGGGCCUGACAUUGGGCUGGGAUUGGCCACAAGGAAGGGCUGCAUCCUGGGCACUAUCUACCUGGAGGAAGAGGUUUGGGGACAUGGUGGCUGCCACCCACGUUCUCAAGGCUGUCACUGGACAAGCAGUCCUCUUCGGGCUGACGUGGCUGAGGCACAGGUCUGUCCUCACAACACUGCUGUGGGUCCGGACCGCUGGCUGCAGGCGGAGGUCCUCCGUCUAUCUCAAGGAUUUGCUCUGGGGGUCGGGUGAGGACCCUCGCUGUCCCUCCCAGACCCUCCGUGCCAACUGCCCUGCUCUCCAGCAGGAGCCCUGUGCUCCACCAAGGCGCCGUCCUGCUGCUCCACUGCCACCCUCUGAACAGAAAGGCUCCCAGGUGUGAGCAGAUCCAAGGCAGCAGUGCAGUCUCCAGAGCCAAUGAUGGAGGCCACUCGCUCCCGUUUUCUUUUUCACGGGGCUGGAGUUACAGCAGUGUGGGGUUCCAUGCAGCAGCCAUAGUUCCCAGGGAAGCAGAAUGGGCUGGCAGCUUCCCAGGUCCCACAGCACGGGGCACAUAAACCCCUUCCCCGGGGCCUGGCCGAUGCCCUUGUGCCCAGGGGAAGCCGCCUUCUCUUCAGUCACCGGGGACUUCCUGCUGCAGUCCCAGGCAGUGCUGGUGACCAUGCCCAGUUGCCUGAGGGAGGACAGGCUAUGGCCACGAGGCCAGGACAGGAGAAGGCCGCACAGAGGAGGCCGGAAAGGCCCGGGGCAAGGCCGGCCCUCCGUCGACCAGGCCCACGCCCAGGGGAGAGCCAGCCGCAGCUCUGACAGCUUUAUCUUUCCUGGUUUGUCAGACUGGAACCAAGGCCUGCUGAUGCCUCCGUGAAGGAACUUUAAAAAAAUAUUGCUGCAUUUGGUCAUCCUCAGAUAAGUGGCUCAACUCAUCUGGAACAAUCAUCAGCAAUCUGAGUGUCAUUAUCAAGAAGUUGUCUUCUUUGUCCAAGAAUGAUCAUUUUUCCUCUGAAGAGCCUCCACAUAUCCUGCAGCACCUUCCCAUGCGACUUCCAUCUGCAGCACUGCUGGGAAGCCCAGCCAGGGGUCCAGCAGGGCUGUGACAACCCUUGAGCAACCAGGCAACACGCUGGCCAUGCUGUGCUCUGUGCAGUGCCCUUCAGCCAUGCAUCAGUCUACUCGGCUUCUGUAAAAUCAGAAUCAAUGAAAUAUCCUGGACUUUUGGUACGGCAAAUGAAAUUGUCCAAAAGAGGCCCUGGGAAUUCUCUCCGAGUUGUGGGAUGAAAGAGAAUGAGGCCCAGGGUGGCUCCCAGGUCAGGAGGCGACACCUGCAUCCUUCCCCGUGGUCUCCAGAGAAUUCAGGUCACACUGCCACGUGUGACUCUGAGGGAUCCACUUCCUGCUACCACCAUGGCUCACGGAGGAGCCUGUCUGUCUCUGGGCAAAGAAGGCCCUAGCAGGAACAUGCAGGGCUAUCCAGCACCCAAGGGUGGGAGAGAAGAGAAACACACGCUCUUUUCUUGCUGACCCUUUCUUUGUAACUCUCAAGAGCCCUGUCUGAAACCAUAACCAGUGGGGUGAGCUUCUACCCGGUCGGUCUGCGUUGCCCGAUGGAUUUGCAGAGUCCGCUGGGUACUUAUUUUGAGUCACUUGUCUUUGUCGGGAUGCUGUGGCCGCCUGCUGCCUCGUGCCCCCUCCCUCUGCACAUCCCCCUCCUCAGCCACUGGGAAACCCGUUGUCCUUCAGGAUCUCCCUGUGCACUAU